UUAUUUACUAGCUCGUGGUUAUCACUAAAACGAUUGCAUAGAAGUGUCUACGUAGAAGAAACUGGAGGUUUUUUUUCCCUCUUGUUAAAGACUCAAGGGUAGCAAAAGGCAAAACUGUUAAAGUUACCAAAGUUUAUCGUUAAGUAUGGAGUUGGUGUACAUGUUUGGAGCGCUGUGUACAUGUUCAUCAUUCUGCUUUCAGCUGGUAGGCAUGCAAAUAUGUUAUAAUAUAAUAAAGAAAGGAGGAACAGGGGAUAUGUCACCAUUCACUUUUAUAUCAUAUUUUGUUGCGUGUACUAUGUGGUUGAAAUACGCAUUAAUACAAAAGUUACCCGUGGUUAUAGCUGUAAAUGCGUAUGGUGCUAUACUCAACUUUAUAUAUACAAUCAUCUUUUACAAAUAUAGUACAAAAAAGGUAUGUU